rnacentral:rRNA from 1 species
GGGUGGUAAUGCCGGAUGCUCCAGUUGAUCGCAUGGUCUUCUGGGAAAGCUUUCGCGGUAUGGGAUGGGGUCGCGUCCUAUCAGCUUGACGGCGGGGUAACGGCCCACCGUGGCUUCGACGGGUAGCCGGCCUGAGAGGGCGACCGGCCACAUUGGGACUGAGAUACGGCCCAGACUCCUACGGGAGGCAGCAGUGGGGAAUAUUGCACAAUGGGCGCAAGCCUGAUGCAGCGACGCCGCGUGAGGGAUGGAGGCCUUCGGGUUGUAAACCUCUUUUAUCGGGGAGCAAGCGUGAGUGAGUUUACCCGUUGAAUAAGCACCGGCUAACUACGUGCCAGCAGCCGCGGUAAUACGUAGGGUGCAAGCGUUAUCCGGAAUUAUUGGGCGUAAAGGGCUCGUAGGCGGUUCGUCGCGUCCGGUGUGAAAGUCCAUCGCUUAACGGUGGAUCCGCGCCGGGUACGGGCGGGCUUGAGUGCGGUAGGGGAGACUGGAAUUCCCGGUGUAACGGUGGAAUGUGUAGAUAUCG